rnacentral:lncRNA from 1 species
UUUACUUUGAAAAAGCCUCUGUUCCUCUCACACUUACUUAAAGUUUCAAGCUACUGCUUCUGGAUUGACUUGCUUCUCUGCUCUCCUACUGAAUUAUCUCUCAUACUUUUUACAGGGUAGGUCUAGGUUUUCUGUUCAUUUCUGUGGGAAAUUACUUGUCCGUACUGUAAGAAGACACAUCUUUGGUAGUCAUUUAGCCAUGUUACUGUACCAGUUCAUUUAAUUUCUCUGUUCCUCUUUUUAGAUCUGAAGAUCCCUGGAAAACCUAUAUUGUUUUACACCUAUAAUUCAGUGGUGGUGACCUCUGCUGCUUGUGAUGGAUGCUGGCCAAAAGUGAAGACAUUCCAUAGUUGGAGAUCUGAUCACCAGCUCUUCUAGUGACAGAUUGGAGCUGACAGCACUGCGAUCAGCAAUGCCACAAAGCAGUUAAUGAUGAUCAGGCUGCUCUGCCCUCCAGACUCACCAGACAGGGAAGUUGUGAAGAAGAGAAGUGAAGAUUGCUCUGUUGUGCUGCAUACUAAAUCAGGAAGUAUUUGCUACUGAUGCCACAGGAGCAGAGAUAUCCAGCACAGCAAUAGAAGGCACAAUGGGAAAGUUAGACAAUGAACCUUCAGACAGAAGAUCCUAUGGAAUAUUCCUAUUGUGGAAAAAGA